AGACGAACCGGACAAACGUUAUUCGGAAUCAUUGGGCUUAAAGGGUGCGUAGGCGGUGCGGAGAGUUGGGUGUGAAAUCCCUCGGCUCAACCGAGGAACUGCGCUCAAAACUUCCGUGCUAGAGUGAGACAGAGGUUAGCGGAACUGAUGGUGGAGCGGUGAAAUGCGUUGAUAUCAUCAGGAACACAGGUGGCGAAGGCGGCUCACUGGGUCUCUACUGACGCUGAGGCACGAAAGCUAAGGUAGCGAACAGGAGUAGAAACCCCAGUAGUCC
rnacentral:rRNA from 1 species